AAUAAAGUGCCUGAUAAAAGGACUACUUUGAUAGAGUAGAACAUGCGAUAUAAUCGCCUUUAUUA